rnacentral:rRNA from 1 species
CGUCGACCGGCGCACGGGUGAGUAACGCGUAUCCAACCUUCCCAUUACUGUGGGAUAACCUGCCGAAAGGCAGACUAAUACCGCAUAGUCUUCGAUGACGGCAUCAGAUUUGAAGUAAAGAUUUAUCGGUAAUGGAUGGGGAUGCGUCUGAUUAGCUUGUUGGCGGGGUAACGGCCCACCAAGGCGACGAUCAGUAGGGGUUCUGAGAGGAAGGUCCCCCACAUUGGAACUGAGACACGGUCCAAACUCCUACGGGAGGCAGCAGUU